rnacentral:rRNA from 1 species
CGCGUGAGAAUCUGCCUUCAGGUCUGGGACAACAGAAGGAAACUUCUGCUAAUCCCGGAUGAGCCUAUUGGUAAAAGAUUAAUNUGCCUGAAGAUGAGCUCGCGUCUGAUUAGCUAGUUGGUGUGGUAAAGGCAUACCAAGGCAACGAUCAGUAGCUGGUCUGAGAGGAUGAGCAGCCACACUGGGACUGAGACACGGCCCAGACUCCUACGGGAGGCAGCAGUGGGGAAUUUUCCGCAAUGGGCGAAAGCCUGACGGAGCAAGACCGCGUGGGGGAGGANAGGCUCUAGGGUUGUAAACCCCUUUUCUUUGGGAAGAAGUUCNUGACGGUACCAAAGGAAUCAGCCUCGGCUAACUCCGUGCCAGCAGCCGCGGUAAUACGGAGGAGGCAAGCGUUAUCCGGAAUGAUUGGGCGUAAAGCGUCCGCAGGUGGCCAUGUAAGUCUGCUGUCAAAACCCAGGGCUCAACUCUGGUCAGGCAGUGGAAACUACGUAGCUAGAGUCUGGUAGGGGCAAAGGGAAUUCCCGGUGUAGCGGUGAAAUGCGUAGAGAUCGGGAAGAACAUCGGUGGCGAAAGCGCUUUGCUAGACCAGAACUGACACUCAGGGACGAAAGCUAGGGGAGCGAAUGGGA